AACGAACGCUGGCGGCAUGCCUAACACAUGCAAGUCGAACGAGACCUUCGGGUAUAGUGGCGCACGGGUGCGUAACGCGUGGGAACCUGCCCUUAGGUUCGGAAUAACUCCCCGAAAGGGGUGCUAAUACCGGAUAAUGUCUUCGGACCAAAGAUUUAUCGCCUUUGGAUGGGCCCGCGUUGGAUUAGCUAGUUGGUAGGGUAAAAGCCUACCAAGGCGACGAUCCAUAGCUGGUCUGAGAGGAUGAUCAGCCACACUGGGACUGAGACACGGCCCAGACUCCUACGGGAGGCAGCAGUGGGGAAUAUUGGACGAUGGGCGAAAGCCUGAUCCAGCAAUGCCGCGUGAGUGAUGAAGGCCUUAGGGUUGUAAAGCUCUUUUACCCGGGAUGAUAAUGACAGUACCGGGAGAAUAAGCUCCGGCUAACUCCGUG
rnacentral:rRNA from 1 species